rnacentral:rRNA from 1 species
AGUGAACGCUGGCGGUAGGCCUAACACAUGCAAGUCGAACGGCAGCACAGUAAGAGCUUGCUCUUACGGGUGGCGAGUGGCGGACGGGUGAGGAAUACAUCGGAAUCUACUUUUUCGUGGGGGAUAACGUAGGGAAACUUACGCUAAUACCGCAUACGACCUACGGGUGAAAGCAGGGGAUCUUCGGACCUUGCGCGAUUGAAUGAGCCGAUGUCGGAUUAGCUAGUUGGCGGGGUAAAGGCCCACCAAGGCGACGAUCCGUAGCUGGUCUGAGAGGAUGAUCAGCCACACUGGAACUGAGACACGGUCCAGACUCCUACGGGAGGCAGCAGUGGGGAAUAUUGGACAAUGGGCGCAAGCCUGAUCCAGCCGUACCGCGUGGGUGAAGAAGGCCUUCGGGUUGUAAAGCCCUUUUGUUGGGAAAGAAAAGCAGCAGGUUAAUACCCCGCUGUUCUGACGGUACCCAAAGAAUAAGCACCGGCUAACUUCGU